AAUUGACUUUUUUUUCUCUCUCCAUACAGAAUCUCUGCCUACCAUGAGGCAGUGCUGUUGGAGGAUGAAAUCUGAAAAUCAUGGAUGGGGAAAAGGCUGUGUUUUUAUGAAUAAAGAUAUUUACAUAUCCAGAUAAUUUUUGUUCAUUUUAGUUUACAAUAUGGCUUCAGUGAGCUGCAUAGUUCUCCUAAGCAAGGAGGUGGACUUCAUCUCCUUACCACUUUCACCCUUGCCUACCCCAUGGACUGUCUGACAAGGUAACAGAAUGGUUUACAUUUAUUAAAACAUGAUACCGUGAGUUUAUUGUGACGCGUUUUUGUCUGAACACUGCUGAAGAAUAAAAAAAGAAUUUUACUAGUUUUUGUACUAAGUAUAGAAAUAAUGCCCAUUCAUGCAGGUGUUUGGAACCUAAAUAUUUGCACCUGAAAAUAAUAGAAACCAUAUUUCCACAAUAAAAUUUAAGGAAAACAUAUUUUAACAUAAUGAUUAAAUCUUAUUUUAAUGCAGACCUUACUUCAGAUUAUCAGUGAGUAAGAAUCCCGAUUCUACGCAAAGAAAUUGAAUUGUUUCUGUUUUUUUCAAGAGAUGAAAUUGCUUCUUGUGGUUAUGAAGGCAGGUAUGGAGAAGCUAAGUGAGUUCUAU
rnacentral:sRNA from 1 species